CCUCUGUAAAUGGGUUUAGAGUCUGAAAAACUCAGACAGUGUGUGUUGUCAUCAGCUUCUUCUCCCGCAUAACCCACGAGAUUGGAGUUAAAUAACAGCACUACAUCC
rnacentral:snoRNA from 13 species